rnacentral:rRNA from 1 species
UACGGAGGGGGCUAGCGUUGUUCGGAAUUACUGGGCGUAAAGCGCGCGUAGGCGGACCUGCAAGUCGGGGGUGAAAGCCCGAGGCUCAACCUCGGAACUGCCUUCGAUACUGCGGGUCUCGAGUCCGGGAGAGGUGAGUGGAAUUCCUAGUGUAGAGGUGAAAUUCGUAGAUAUUAGGAAGAACACCAGUGGCGAAGGCGGCUCACUGGCCCGGUACUGACGCUGAGGCGCGAAUGCGUGGGGAGCAAACAGG